rnacentral:lncRNA from 1 species
CUCCCUCCCUCCCUCCCUCCUCUCUCUCUCUCUCUCUCUUUCUUUCUUUCUUUCUUUCUUUCUCGUCUGAUACCCAUACUGAGCAUGGAUCUUCUCACCUCGAUUAACCUGAUAUAGAAACUGUCUCCGUGACAUGCUCAGAGGUCUGUUUCCAUGGCGAUUAAAAAUCUCAUCGAAUUGACAAUUAAGAUUGACUUCCACCGAGUAAAUGAACUCAGGAGACGUGGCUCAGAACCUCCGUCCCGGCUGUGGCCUGAUUGAGGAAGGAACACUUUCAGAAACCCAAAGGACCACAGCUGCCUUUUGUCAUCACGCCUCUGGGAACCCAGACUUUGGAACCCACAGCCUCUUGGGGGAGGGGGCACAGGCAGCUUAGCCUGUCUGACCUCCUGCUGUGGUCCACAGCACCCUGCUUGGAUGGGUUUCCUUGAAGCCCACAAGUCCCCGUCCUGAGAAUACAUCAGGCAGAAGAAACAGUUGACUCUGCACCACUCGGAGGAACACACACUUCUUCGGCUCAGUAAGAGAUUUAAGCCGUGGUGGUGGCUACACCGAGAAACCCUGUCUCGAAAACAAAACAAAACAAAACAAAACAAAACAAAACAAGAGAGAGAUUUAAGACAAGGUGAUAGGCCACACAGGAGAUCUAGGCCACCUCAUGAUCCCUUUUCUGGAGCUGUAUGACUGACAUCUCUCAUACUUGGACAGCCACAUUACCCAGGACUUAUAACUCUCCUGGGAGUUUGGGGGCAGAGGUGAGCAAAAGCUGCUCUGUCUCAGUGUGGGGCGAGGAGGAAAGCAAUGAAACCCUAGUCUGCCUUCUGCCAUUGGCCCCGUCUACGAGGUACCCUUUCACCUCAGCCUUCAUAGCUUAAAGAAAGGAAGGAAGAAUUGGUGACAAGCUGUUGUGUGUUCUCACUACCUGGAGUGGACCAAUUAAUUGUUCAAGGCUCCUAAAAUUAUGUAAGAAAAAAAUACAAACCCCACCCCUCCACAUGCACACACACAUACACGUGCACACACAUGCUCACACACCCACACACAUGCACACACAUGUGUGCAUGCAAACACACAUGCAUGUGCACUCACAUGCUCACACACAUGCACAUACAUGUGCAUGCAUACACACACGCAUGUGCAUACACAUGUUCAUACACUCACACACAUGCACACACACACAUGAGUACACACACACACACAUGCACAUACACAUGCAAGUGCACACAUACACACAUACACACAUCAAUUUAGUGAUUUAAAUGCAUGCUAAAUAAAUGACAGUAUUUAUUCUUUAUAAAAACCCUUUAAAUACAGACUAAAAGGAAAAACAA